GGCAGGAUGGUUCUGGAAGUGGCUUCCAUAUCCUGGAAAACGGUACAUCGUGCCCUGGCUAAAAUACAGGCAGUGGUGUUGACGAAUACUUGUGCCAGCUGUUGUUCGGUCCCGUUAAAAACGGUCGCUUGGUACUUCCUUCGUUAAAAUCCCGCACGACGCACAGGACUCUUCUUGGACGCAGGAUACGUCUUCCCAGGACGAAACCUUCCUGCCUCUUGAUUUCUCGAGCGUCCUACACGUAUUCAUGUACAUUCGGUAAUUGAAUUUUUCCCAAUUACAGAUCUGUAUAUAGACUUUACACAGAGUGAUAUUAAUUAGAUGAAAGGCCGGCGAGUCUUUUUAGGGUUCGUCCUGGUUUACAGUAGCUGCUAAAUAAAUUAAUUAUCCACUUACAAGCA